AGGACGAACGCUGGCGGCGUGCUUAACACAUGCAAGUCGAGCGGAAAGGCCCUUCGGGGUACUCGAGCGGCGAACGGGUGAGUAACACGUGAGCAACCUGCCCUUAACUCUGGGAUAGCUCCGGGAAACCGGAAUUAAUACCGGAUAUUACACCGGCUGGCAUCGGCUGGUGUGGAAAGAUUUAUCGGCUAAGGAUGGACUCGCGGCCUAUCAGCUUGUUGGUGGGGUAGAAGCCUACCAAGGCGACGACGGGUA
rnacentral:rRNA from 1 species